CACACCGCCCGUCACGUCAUGAAAGCCGGCAACACCUGAAGUCCGUGCGCCGACCUGCAAGGGGGGCAGCGGCCGAGGGUGGGGCUGGUGAUUGGGACG
rnacentral:rRNA from 1 species